rnacentral:rRNA from 1 species
ACGGAAGGCAGCAGUGGGGGAUAUUGCACAAUGGGGGAAACCCUGAUGCAGCGACGCCGCGUGAGUGAUGAAGUAUUUCGGUAUGUAAAGCUCUAUCAGCAGGGAAGAAAAUGACGGUACCUGACUAAGAAGCACCGGCUAAAUACGUGCCAGCAGCAGCGGUAAUACGUAUGGUGCAAGCGUUAUCCGGAUUUACUGGGUGUAAAGGGAGUGUAGACGGCAAAGCAAGUCUGAAGUGAAAUCCCGGGGCUCAACCCUGGAACUGCUUUGGAAACUGCUUAGCUAGAGUGCAGGAGAGGUAAGUGGAAUUCCUAGUGUAGCGGUGAAAUGCGUAGAUAUUAGGAGGAACACCAGUGGCGAAGGCGGCUUACUGGACUGUAACUGACGUUGAGGCUCGAAAGCGUGGGGAGCAAACAGGAUUAGAUACCCUGGUA